CGGCCUAUCAGCUAGUUGGCGAGGUAACGGCUCACCAAGGCUAAGACGGGUAGCUGGUCUGAGAGGAUGAUCAGCCACACUGGAACUGAGACACGGUCCAGACACUACGGGUGGCAGCAGUUUCGAAUCAUUCACAAUGGGCGAAAGCCUGAUGGUGCGACGCCGCGUGAGGGAUGAAGGCCUUCGGGUUGUAAACCUCUGUCACUGGGGAAGAAACGCUGCAUUUUAAUAGAAUGCAGCCUGACUUAACCCAGAGAGGAAGCAGUGGCUAACUCUGUGCCAGCAGCCGCGGUAAUACAGAGACUGCAAGCGUUAUUCGGAUUCACUGGGCGUAAAGGGUGCGCAGGCGGCCGUGUGUGUUAGGUGUGAAAGCCCGAGGCUUAACCUCGGAAUUGCGCCUAAAACUACAUGGCUAGAGCAUUGGAGAGGGUAGCAGAAUUCAUGGUGUAGCAGUGAAAUGCGUAGAUAUCAUGAGGAAUACCAGAG
rnacentral:rRNA from 1 species